rnacentral:rRNA from 1 species
AGCUAGUUGGUGAGGUAAGGGCUCACCAAGGCGACGAUCCCUAGCUGGUCUGAGAGGAUGAUCAGCCACACUGGAACUGAGACACGGUCCAGACUCCUACGGGAGGCAGCAGUGGGGAAUAUUGCACAAUGGGCGCAAGCCUGAUGCAGCCAUGCCGCGUGUGUGAAGAAGGCCUUCGGGUUGUAAAGCACUUUCAGUCGUGAGGAAGGCGGGGUCGUUAAUAGCGGCAUCGUUUGACGUUAGCGACAGAAGAAGCACCGGCUAACUCCGUGCCAGCAGCCGCGGUAAUACGGAGGGUGCGAGCGUUAAUCGGAAUUACUGGGCGUAAAGCGCAUGCAGGUGGUUUGUUAAGUCAGAUGUGAAAGCCCGGGGCUCAACCUCGGAAUAGCAUUUGAAACUGGCAGACUAGAGUACUGUAGAGGGGGGUAGAAUUUCAGGUGUAGCGGUGAAAUGCGUAGAGAUCUGAAGGAAUACCGGUGGCGAAGGCGGCCCCCUGGACAGAUACUGACACUCAGAUGCGAAAGCGUGGGGAGCAAACAGGAUUAGAUACCCUGGUAGUCCACGCCGUAAACGAUGUCUACUUGGAGGUUGUGGCCUUGAGCCGUGGCUUUCGGAGCUAACGCGUUAAGUAGACCGCCUGGGGAGUACGGUCGCAAGAUUAAAACUCAAAUGAAUUGACGGGGGCCCGCACAAGCGGUGGAGCAUGUGGUUUAAUUCGAUGCAACGCGAAGAACCUUACCUACUCUUGACAUCCAGAGAACUUUCCAGAGAUGGAUUGGUGCCUUCGGGAACUCU